rnacentral:rRNA from 1 species
CAAUAGCGUAUAUUAAAGCUGUUGCGGUUAAAAAGCUCGUAGUUGGAUUUCUGUCAAGUACAACUGGUCCGCCCUCCGGGUGAGCACAUAGUUUGGUCUUGGCAUCUUGCUGGAAAUUGUUGCUGCACUUGGCUGUGUGGCACAGUGUCCAGCACUUUCACUUUGAGGAAAUUGGAGUGUUUCAAGCAGGCAAUGCCUUUGAACACAGUAGCAUGGAAUAAUUAGAUUGGGCUUUUGCUCCAAUUUGUCGGUUUCUGGAGCUGAGGUGAGAAUUAAUGGGGAUUGUUGGGGGCAUCCGAAUUUAGCCGUCAGAGGUGAAAUUCUUGGAUCGGCUAAAGACGGACAACUGCGAAAGCGUUCGCCCAGGAUGUUUUCAUUGA